rnacentral:rRNA from 1 species
GACGAACGCUGGCGGCGUGCUUAACACAUGCAAGUCGAACGGAAAGGCCCUGCUUUUGUGGGGUGCUCGAGUGGCGAACGGGUGAGUAACACGUGAGUAACCUGCCCUUGACUUUGGGAUAACUUCAGGAAACUGGGGCUAAUACCGGAUAGGAGCUCCUGCUGCAUGGUGGGGGUUGGAAAGUUUCGGCGGUUGGGGAUGGACUCGCGGCUUAUCAGCUUGUUGGUGGGGUAGUGGCUUACCAAGGCUUUGACGGGUAGCCGGCCUGAGAGGGUGACCGGCCACGUUGGGACUGAGAUACGGCCCAGACUCCUACGGGAGGCAGCAGUGGGGAAUAUUGCACAAUGGGCGGAAGCCUGAUGCAGCAACGCCGCGUGCGGGAUGACGGCCUGCGGGUUGUAAACCGCUGUCGCCUGUGACGAAGCGUGAGUGACGGUAAUGGGUAAAGAAGCACCGGCUAACUACGUG